rnacentral:rRNA from 1 species
UAGGGAAUCUUCGGCAAUGGGGGGAACCCUGACCGAGCAACGCCGCGUGAGUGAAGAAGGUUUUCGGAUCGUAAAGCUCUGUUGUUAAGGAAGAACGAGUGUGAGAAUGGAAAGUUCAUGCUGUGACGGUACUUAACCAGAAAGGGACGGCUAACUACGUGCCAGCAGCCGCGGUAAUACGUAGGUUCCGAGCGUUGUCCGGAUUUAUUGGGCGUAAAGCGAGCGCAGGCGGUUAGAAAAGUCUGAAGGGAAAGGCAGUGGCUCAACCAUUGUAGGCUUUGGAAACUGUUUAACUUGAGUGCAGAAGGGGGGAGUGGAAUUCCAUGUGUGGCGGUGAAAUGCGUGGAUAUAUGGAGGAACACCGGUGGCGAAAGCGGCUCUCUGGUCUGUAACUGACGCUGAGGCUCGAAAGCGUGGGGAGCGAACAGG